CCAGCCGCCGCGGUAAUACGGAGGAUGCAAGCGUUAUCCGGAAUGAUUGGGCGUAAAGCGUCCGCAGGUGGUUUAUCAAGUUUGCGGUUAAAGGUUCUGGCUCAACCAGAGACAGGCCGUGAAAACUGAUAGACUAGAGUAUGGUAGGGGCAGAGGGAAUUCCCAGUGUAGCGGUGAAAUGCGUAGAGAUUGGGAAGAACACCGGUGGCNAAAGCGCUCUGCUAGGCCAAAACUGACACUGAGGGACGAAAGCUAGGGGAGCGAAUGGGAUUAGAUACCCCAGUAGUCCUAGCCGUAAACGAUGGAUACUAGGUGUAGCUUGUAUCGACCCAAGCUGUGCCGUAGCUAACGCGUUAAGUAUCCCGCCUGGGGAGUACGCGCGCAAGCGUGAAACUCAAAGGAAUUGACGGGGGCCCGCACAAGCGGUGGAGUAUGUGGUUUAAUUCGAUGCAACGCGAAGAACCUUACCAGGACUUGACAUGUCGCGAAUCUUACUGAAAGGUAGGAGUGCCUUAGGGAGCGCGAACACAGGUGGUGCAUGGCUGUCGUCAGCCCGUGUCGUGAGAUGUUGGGUUAAGUCCCGCAACGAGCGCAACCCUCGUUUUUAGUUGCCAUCAUUAAGUUGGGCACUCUAGAGAGACUGCCGGUGACAAACCGGAGGAAGGUGGGGAUGACGUCAAGUCAGCAUGCCCCUUACGUUCUGGGCUACACACGUACUACAAUGCUACGGACAAAGGGUAGCAAGCAUGCGAAUGCAAGCCAAUCCCAUAAACCGUGGCUCAGUUCAGAUUGCAGGCUGCAACUCGCCUGCAUGAAGGCGGAAUCGCUAGUAAUCGCAGGUCAGCACUACUGCGGUGAAUACGUUCCCGGGCCUUGUACACACCGCCCGUCACACCAUGGAAGCUGGCUUAGCCCGAAGUCGUUACCCUAACCGUAAGGAGGGGGAUGCCGAAGGCAGGGCUGGUGACUGGGGUGAAGUCGUAACAAGGUAACCAAG
rnacentral:rRNA from 1 species